UUACCACAAACGAAUGAUGCUUGCCUGCAGGCAUUGUUUUGUUACUGGCUUACCUCCAAUCUGUUUACUCUUGUGUAUGGAUUAACAUUAAGACGUCCUGAUGUGAGGAAGCUCUUGAAUCUCCCAGAUGUUGUCAACUCUUCUACUAGGCAGCCGUCACCGUCUUUGUCUUCGCCUUUGCCAUUUACCUUUCCCGAG